GCCAUUUAUUUAUUUAUUGUACUGGGGAUUGAACGCAGAACUCAGCGCUUUCGAUAUAGGCGGCAGCCCCAUUGAGCUAAAUCCCCCGUCUGAAAGUAACCCUUUAAAAUGAGUAAGUAGGGCCGAGAUGGCACACGCCUGCAAUCCCAGCACUCGGGAGGCUGAGGCAGGAGGAUUGCUGCUCAUUUGAGGCCAACCUGAGCUAUGUAUUGAAUUCAAGGCCAGGAUGGACUCAAAGAGAAUAGGUAGUUUGCUGUAACUUGCCCAAGGAUUGCCCUAGAAGAAUUCCCACAAUUCAGGGUGCGGGCCCCGCCUCCUGUGGCCUUGUGCCUGUGGAUUGGCCCGUUUUGGCGCCCGGGCGUGGCUGUGGCCCAGCCGAGUCGGCCGUCGCCAUGGCCCACGCUGAGGCCCUGGGGCCUCGACGCUCGUUCUGCUCGCCUGUACCGGGUCUCCUGUGGCUCCUGCCGUGUUUGCUUGGCACUCGGGCCAACAAGCUUAACGUUCCGCAGGUGUUGCUGCCCUUCGGCCAGGAGCCAGGCCCCGCGCUCUUCCUGCUGGAGGCCGAGCGGGGCUGCUACGCCUGUGACUGACCAUGAACUACACUGUGAUGUUAAGGUUGAUGUGAUAAACAGCAUUGAAAUUGUAUCUCGGACCCGGAAACUCUAUGUAGAUGAUUCACCUCUGGAACUGAUGGUGAGAGCAUUGGAUGCUGAAGGAAAUACUUCUAGCAGUUUGGCAGGGAUGAUGUUUGAGUGA
rnacentral:lncRNA from 1 species